GAUGAACGCUGGCGGCGUGCCUAAUACAUGCAAGUCGAGCGAACAGACGAGGAGCUUGCUCCUCUGACGUUAGCGGCGGACGGGUGAGUAACACGUGGAUAACCUACCUAUAAGACUGGGAUAACUUCGGGAAACCGGAGCUAAUACCGGAUAAUAUAUUGAACCGCAUGGUUCAAUAGUGAAAGACGGUUUUGCUGUCACUUAUAGAUGGAUCCGCGCCGCAUUAGCUGGUUGGUAAGGUAACGGCUUACCAAGGCGACGAUGCGUAGCCGACCUGAGAGGGUGAUCGGCCACCCUGGAACUGGGACACGGUCCAGGCUCCUACGGGAGGCAGCAGUAGGGAAUCUUCCGCAAUGGGCGAAAGCCUGACGGAGCAACGCCGCGUGAGUGAUGAAGGUCUUCGGAUCGUAAAACUCUGUUAUUAGGGAAGAACAAAUGUGUAAGUAACUAUGCACGUCUUGACGGUACCUAAUCAGAAAGCCACGGCUAACUACGUG
rnacentral:rRNA from 1 species